GAAGUUUCCGAGGAGACUUCUCAGGCUGGGCUGGACACACCUUUCCAAGGACCCCCAAACUCUGCUCCGUGCACGUCAAAUGCUCCUUUCUCUUGGGUCCAACCCCCUACCCCUCUCCCUAACACCCCUCUUCUCAAGAAGACUCAGCCUCUCCCCGAGCCCUGGUAGGUCUGGAGCUCCCCACAGACACUGAUCUCAGUUUCCCCCGAGAGUGAGAGUGUAGGCCUCUACAGGCAGCUGCCUUUGGGGAGGUGGGGAGCCUAGGGGUUAACUCUAGACCCCCCUCAACUCUCUGGACCAAAGUCUGUCCAGGAAAACAGGAUGCCGGAGCCCAGGAGUCGUCAGCCUAGCAGUUGCCUGGCCUCCAGAUGCCUCCCAGGGGAGCAGAUCCUAGCAUGGGCCCCAGGGGUGAGGAAGGGCCUGGAACCAGAAUUGUCUGGAACCCUGAUCUGUACCAACUUUAGGGUCACCUUCCAGCCCUGUGGAUGGCAGUGGAAUCAGGACACUCCCUUGAACAGUGAAUACGAUUUUGCCCUGGUCAACAUUGGACGAUUAGAGGCUGUGAGCGGCUUGUCCCGAGUCCAGCUCCUCCGUCCAGGGUCCCUGCAUAAAUUUAUCCCUGAGGAGAUUCUGAUUCAUGGCCGAGACUUCCGGCUGCUCAGAGUUGGUUUUGAGGCUGGAGGCCUAGAGCCUCAGGCUUUUCAGGUGACCAUGGCCAUUGUCCAAGCCAGAGCUCAGAGCAAUCAAGCCCAGCAGUAUUCGGGGAUAACCCUGAGCAAGGCUGGCCAGGGUUCUGGCUCCAGAAAACCACCAAUUCCUCUCAUGGAGACAGCGGAAGACUGGGAGACUGAGCGGAAGAAGCAGGCAGCCAGAGGCUGGAGGGUCAGCACGGUCAACGAGAGGUUCGACGUAGCCACUAGCCUCCCCCGUUACUUCUGGGUCCCUAACCGAAUUCUGGACAGUGAGGUCAGGAGAGCAUUUGGCCACUUUCAUCAGGGCCGUGGACCGGUCAGUGUGAUGGUUAGGGUAAUGGCUGUGGAUUAGAGGGUCAUGUGGGCCAGGGACAUCGUGGAGGGAGGAACCUCUGUGAGGUCAGUGUGGGGGCAAGGGUAGCGUGGAGCUAGGCAUUUCUCCCACAAUGACCCUCUUCUGCCCCAUGUGAAGCGCUUGUCCUGGCAUCACCCUGGGGGCAGUGAUCUUCUCCGCUGUGGAGGCUUCUAUACAGCCAGUGACCCUAACAAGGAGGAUAUCAGAGCAGUGGAGUUGAUGCUCCAGGCUGGGCAUUCAGAUGUUGUCCUGGUAGACACUAUGGAUGAGCUGCCCAGCCUUGCAGAUGUCCAACUUGCCCACCUGAGGCUGAGGGCCCUCUGCCUGCCCGAUUCAUCUGUAGCUGAGGAUAAAUGGCUUUCAGCCCUGGAAGGAACACGAUGGCUGGACUAUGUCAGGGCUUGUCUUCGAAAGGCCAGUGACAUUUCAGUAUUAGUGACAUCCAGGGUUCGUUCUGUAAUACUUCAAGGCUCCGGUGUUUCUCCUCUUCCUUGAUUGUGUCUGGCAGCUCCUCCAGCAGUUUCCAGCUGAUUUUGAAUUCUCUGAGUUUUUCCUUCUUGCUCUUCAUGACAGUGUCAGGGUUCCUGACACCCUUACCUUCCUGAGAAAUACCCCCUGGGAGCGCGGAAAGCAGAGCGGACAGUUAAACUCCUAUACACAAGUCUACACCCCAGGAUACUCCCAGCCUCCAGCUGGGAACUCUUUUAACCUGCAGCUGUCUGUCUGGGACUGGGAUUUACGUUAUAGCAAUGCACAGAUACUACAAUUCCAGAAUCCUGGCUAUGACCCAGAACACUGUCCAGAUUCCUGGCUCCCUAGACCACAGCCAAGCUUCAUGGUUCCUGGACCCCCCAGUUCUGUGUGGCUCUUCUCUAGAGGAGCAUUGACCCCCCUGAAUCAGCUCUGUCCUUGGCGGCAGAGUCCUUGCCAGCAGAGUCCCUCCCUGCUGGCAGUCUCUUCUCGUUGGCUCCCUCGACCUGCUAUCUCCUCUGAAAGCCUGGCUGACCAGGAAUGGGGUCUCCCCUCACAUUGGGGAGCUUGCCCUUUACCUCCAGGGCUGCUGCUGCCUGGGUAUCUGGGACCCCAGAUCAGGCUCUGGAGACGCUGCUACCUGAGGGGAAGGCCUGAGGUCCAGAUGGGCCUCUCAGCUCCCACAAUCUCUGGCCUCCAGGAUGAGCUAUCCCAUCUUCAGGAGUUAUUACGGAAAUGGACACCAAGAAUAUCUCCUGAGGAUCACUCCAAGAAAAGAGAUCCACAUACCAUUCUCAAUCCCACUGAAAUUGCUGGCAUUCUCAAAGGCAGGGCAGAGGGGGAUCUGGGGUAGAGGAGGGUUCCGUCUAAUCUUUUUUUUUUUUUUUUUUUUUUUGUAUCUGGACUUGCAGCCUCAGCUUUCACACUUCAGCCCUUAAGUUCACUAAGAAGGUCUGAGUUUCUGCUGCAGAUGGUGGUGUUAACUGCUCCAACUCUUGUCUUGCUUAGUUCCUACAAAUAUUUUUGCUUCUUGUCAUUUGAAGGAUUAAGAAACAAAAACAAUCCAGAAAUUGAUCGGUUUUCUUAGGCCAAUCCCAUCCCUUCUGGAUAACCAGAUGUUAAAUCAUGAGAUCAGAGAUGCUGUUCAUCAGUCCCAACAAGAUGGCCUAGAAAUCGCAUUCUCACCUCGCCUUGCUGCUGCUUUAAUUCCAAGUUCUAUUUCUUCCCUUAUAGUUUUCUAUAGGAAUGAGGCGGAUACAGGAAACACCCUGUCUCCUCUGUAUUUUUGUAGUGGAAUUUCUAUUUAAGGGGCUCAUUAAAGCAUAGUAUUUAUACACA
rnacentral:sRNA from 1 species